UGGGGAAUAUUGCACAAUGGGCGCAAGCCUGAUGCAGCCAUGCCGCGUGUGUGAAGAAGGCCUUCGGGUUGUAAAGCACUUUCAGCGAGGAGGAAGGUGGUGAGCUUAAUACGCUCAUCAAUUGACGUUACUCGCAGAAGAAGCACCGGCUAACUCCGUGCCAGCAGCCGCGGUAAUACGGAGGGUGCAAGCGUUAAUCGGAAUUACUGGGCGUAAAGCGCACGCAGGCGGUUUGUUAAGUCAGAUGUGAAAUCCCCGGGCUCAACCUGGGAACUGCAUUUGAAACUGGCAAGCUAGAGUCUCGUAGAGGGGGGUAGAAUUCCAGGUGUAGCGGUGAAAUGCGUAGAGAUCUGGAGGAAUACCGGUGGCGAAGGCGGCCCCCUGGACGAAGACUGACGCUCAGGUGCGAAAGCGUGGGGCAGCAAACAGGAUUAGAUACCCUGGUAGUCCACGCUGUAAACGAUGUCGAUUUGGAGGUUGUGCCCUUGAGGCGUGGCUUCCGGAGCUAACGCGUUAAAUCGACCGCCUGGGGAGUACGGCCGCAAGGUUAAAACUCAAAUGAAUUGAC
rnacentral:rRNA from 1 species